GACGGGAGAAUCAGACCAUUGAGUGGGCUAUACGACUAACAGUUGCUCUGAACAUUGCCAAAGCAUUAGAUCACUGCAGCAGCAAAUGCCGCCCAUUGUACCAUGACUUAAAUGCAUAUAUGUUUCUCUUUGAUAAGAGUUGGCUUCAUUUCAGUCCAGUAACUCUCUAAAUAGGUCCAAUAACUCACUAAAUAGGUAAAUCGAGAAGAAUUCAGCGUUGCACGCCUUUUUUGGUAUGCUGUUUAAAUCUGUCUGUCAUUUUGUUCAUUCUUCAUGUUUAACUUUGUUCUGCAGGCUUCAUAUGGCUAACUUAAGCAUUUAAGUUAUUCAUUUGUUAAAGAUGUUUGCUAUUUUGGAACAGUUUGAAAGUUAAUGCAUGACUCGAGGAUGACUUUUAGCUUAUCCCACUUAUCUUUCACGCUCUCACUUCAUUCAUGUGCUGAGUCAUGGUUUAACUGUCUAAAUUCAAGAACUAAAAAUGGCCAGCAGGCUAAAAAGUGAUUAGAUUUUGA